rnacentral:rRNA from 1 species
AUUGAACGCUGGCGGCAGGCCUAACACAUGCAAGUCGAGCGGAGCGGCGGACGGGCGAGUAAUGCCUGGGAAUCUACCUGGUAGUGGGGGAUAACUUCCGGAAACGCGCGCUAAUCCCGCAUACUAUCAGAUGAAUUUAGGUCGGAUUGGCUAGAUGGUGGGGUAAAGGCCUACCAAGGCGACGAACCGUAACUGGUCUGAGAGGAUGAUCAGUCACACUGAAACUGAGACACGGACCAUACUCGUUCGGUCGGCAGCAGUGGGGAAUAUUGGACAAUGGGCGCAAGCCUGAUCCAGGCAUGCCGCGUGUGUGAAGAAGGUCGUCGGAUUGGAAAGCACUUUGAGUUGGGAGGCGUUACCCACAGAAUAAGCACCGGCUAACGCCGUGCCAGCAGCCGCGGUAAUAC